rnacentral:tRNA from 1 species
UUAAGAACCUAAAAUGAUUUUUAAAUCUCUGCUCUUUUUCAGUGUUAGGCA